rnacentral:rRNA from 1 species
UACGUAGGGUGCAAGCGUUGUCCGGAAUUAUUGGGCGUAAAGAGCUCGUAGGCGGUCUGUCACGUCGGAUGUGAAAAUCCAGGGCUUAACCCUGGACCUGCAUUCGAUACGGGCAGACUAGAGUUCGGUAGGGGAGACUGGAAUUCCUGGUGUAGCGGUGAAAUGCGCAGAUAUCAGGAGGAACACCGAUGGCGAAGGCAGGUCUCUGGGCAUUAACUGACGCUGAGGAGCGAAAGCAUGGGGAGCGAACAGG